rnacentral:rRNA from 1 species
GACGAACGCUGGCGGCGUGCCUAAUACAUGCAAGUAGAACGCUGAAGGAGGAGCUUGCUCUUUCUGGAUGAGUUGCGAACGGGUGAGUAACGCGUAGGUAACCUGCCUGGUAGCGGGGGAUAACUAUUGAAACGAUAGCUAAUACCACAUAACAGUAGAUAUCGCAUGAUAUUUGCUUGAAAGGUGCAAUUGCACCACUACCAGAUGGACCUGCGUUGUAUUAGCUAGUUGUGAGGUAACGGCUCACCAAGGCAACGAUACAUAGCCGACCUGAGAGGGUGAUCGGCCACACUGGGACUGAGACACGGCCCAGACUCCUACGGGAGGCAGCAGUAGGGAAUCUUCGGCAAUGGACGGAAGUCUGACCGAGCAACGCCGCGUGAGUGAAGAAGGUUUUCGGAUCGUAAAGCUCUGUUGUAAGAGAAGAACGAGUGUGAGAGUGGAGAGUUCACACUGUGACGGUAUCUUACCAGA